UCUCCCUCUCUCUCUCUCUCUUUCUCAGUUCCCUUAUGAAAUAAGGGCACACAGGUAAUAAACAAAACACUAUAAAAGAUCAGAUUGAGGUAUUCUGUGGGCUCAUUCAAUGUCCGGAGCAAGCAUUCUGCACACCACCACGGGUGCUUUUGACUUCCAAAGCUUGUUGGAGACUGAGCACACAGUGGCAGGAUUAGGCUAGACCCCCUUCUCCUGUCUACAGCUUGGCUGAAAUGACCAGGGCCAUGGCCUUGGUCAGCCCAGCCACACCUGAUGACCGAGGGACAGAGGAAGUGAUGGCAGGGUACAGGCCCUUGGAUUUGCUGAUUUGGAUUUUGGAUUCUGACCUGCCUUUCUGUCUUACUCCUCAUGCCUGAUCCAGUCUGCAGAGAGUGGUGAAGGAGAAACCAGCUGUUGAACCCAGUGCCAGCAAAACAGUUUUCUGAGAACAGGGAAGACCCCCAAGACUAAAAGCAAUCAUCCAUGAUAAAAAUUAAGCUCUGUUUUGGGAGUCGUUCCUUAGUCUUCAGUCUUGAACGGACAUAGAAAUCAUUCAUACUGAGUAAAGAAGGAGUCAAGGAAAAACACUAAAACGACGGGGGAAUGUUACAAAUAUUAUACUUCAGAUCUAGCAAAUGUACUAUCUAGUGUAUUCAGUGAGUCCAACUUUUUCUUGGUUGAAAUUUGAAGUUGUUGACAUGAGCAAUGACUUUUUCCCUUCCUUCCUUGUUUGAAGUGGAUGUAGGCUUUUACAAACUGGUGUUUUACUCAAAUGGACAACCACUUUUUUCCUAUCCUUUUUACAUGAUGACAAGUCCCUGGAUCAUAGUCCUCUGUAUACUUUAGAGAUCGGUGAUAUCAGAGUUGGUUGAAAAAUUGGGGGCCAGCAGGAGGUGGCACACCUGGUUAAGUACACACAUUACAAUGUACAAAGACCCAGGUUCAAGUCUCUGGUCCCCACCUGCAGGGGGAAAGCUUCACGAAUGGUGAAGCAGUGCUGUAGGUAUUUCUCUGUCUAUCUGUCUCCCCCUUCCCUCUGAAUUCUUUGUCCUAUCAAAUAAAUAAAGUUGAAAAGAAAGGAAGAAAGAAAGACAGAAAGAAAAAAAACUGGAGAUGAAGUUAGUCCAAACCUUUGUCACAAGCAUGCAGGGAGAAUGUUUUGUGAAUCAUGCAUUUCCCUCUGAUAGUCCAACGCCAAUAGAGACUUUCUCCUCUUAUCCUUUUAAGACCUUUCCAAUAGAGAUGCUUGGGAUACUUGCCUUGUAGCCUGUUCGAGUGUCUGCCAGCCUAUGUUGUCUAAUAUAGGUGUGCAUACAUGUGAAGAAAUCGGAUUUAGAAAUCUUCUAGGUGUUCCAAAAGGAACAUGAAAAACAUCCUUCUGAAAAACAAGAUAGACUUCUGGGGACAUUGAGAUGACUCAUGCCCCUCUUGUUAGUUUAAUUUUUUUUUUUUCUGAGUAAGAUUUCAAACAGCCUUCUGGUUAUAUUUUAUCUGUUCAUGGCAAAAGACUUUGUAUUAUUUUCAUUUUCUGCUUUUGAAGAUAAACUAACAUAACUUAUAUAUCUGUAUAAUUGCUUUUAAUUAAAACAAAAUCCCCAUCUUUUUGAAAGUUUAAUUUUAUUGGAUUCUCCCAAAGUUAGGUAUGAAGUAUACCUCUCACUGUCAUGAAAUGUGGAUACUCUGGGCCUGGGGAGGUAGCAUAUUGGUUACACAAAGAGACUUUAAUGCUUGAGGCUCCUGGGCCUCAGGUUCAGACUCCAGCACCACCGUUAAUUAAGUCAUAGCUGAGCUGUGCUUUGGUCUCUCUCUUAACUUCCACCUGUGUCUCUCUCAUUAAAAUAAUAUAUAUAUAUAUAUAU